rnacentral:rRNA from 1 species
GACGAACGCUGGCGGCGUGCUUAACACAUGCAAGUCGAACGGAAAGGCCCUGCUUGCAGGGUACUCGAGUGGCGAACGGGUGAGUAACACGUGGGUGAUCUGCCCUGCACUUCGGGAUAAGCUUGGGAAACUGGGUCUAAUACCGGAUAGGAGCAAUCUCUAGUGUGGUGGUUGGAAAGUUUUUUCGGUGUAGGAUGAGCGCGCGGCCUAUCAGCUUGUUGGUGGGGUAAUGGCCUACCAAGGCGGCGACGGGUAGCCGGCCUGAGAGGGUGUACGGCCACAUUGGGACUGAGAUACGGGCCAGACUCCUACGGGAGGCAGCAGUGGGGAAUAUUGCACAAUGGGCGCAAACCUGAUGCAGCGACGCCGCGUGGGGGAUGAAGGCCUUCGGGGUGUAAACUCCUUUCUCUAGGGACGAAGCUUUGUUGUGACGGUACCUAGAUAAGAAGCACCGGCUAACUACGUG